UACGUAGGGUGCGAGCGUUAAUCGGAAUUACUGGGCGUAAAGCGUGCGCAGGCGGUGAUGUAAGACCGAUGUGAAAUCCCCGGGCUUAACCUGGGAAUGGCGAUGGAGACUGCAAGGCUAGAGUUUGGCAGAGGGGGGUAGAAUUCCACGUGUAGCAGUGAAAUGCGUAGAGAUGUGGAGGAACACCGAUGGCGAAGGCAGCCCCCUGGGUCAAAACUGACGCUCAUGCACGAAAGCGUGGGGAGCAAACAGG
rnacentral:rRNA from 1 species